rnacentral:rRNA from 1 species
GACGAACGCUGGCGGCGUGCUUAACACAUGCAAGUCGAACGGAAAGGCCCUGCUUUUGUGGGGUGCUCGAGUGGCGAACGGGUGAGUAACACGUGAGUAACCUGCCCUUGACUUUGGGAUAACUUCAGGAAACUGGGGCUAAUACCGGAUAGGAGCUCCUGCUGCAUGGUGGGGGUUGGAAAGUUUCGGCGGUUGGGGAUGGACUCGCGGCUUAUCAGCUUGUUGGUGGGGUAGUGGCUUACCAAGGCUUUGACGGGUGGCCGGCCUGAGAGGGUGACCGGCCACAUUGGGACUGAGAUACGGCCCAGACUCCUACGGGAGGCAGCAGUGGGGAAUAUUGCACAAUGGGCGGAAGCCUGAUGCAGCAACGCCGCGUGCGGGAUGACGGCCUUCGGGUUGUAAACCGCUUUCGCCUGUGACGAAGCGUGAGUGACGGUAAUGGGGAAAGAAGCACCGGCUAACUACGU